GUAACAACUCACCUGCCGAAGCAACUAGCCCUGAAAAUGGAUGGCGCUCUAGCGUCGUGCCUAUACCGGGCCGUCAACGGCACAGUGGGCGUCUGUCCUUCGGUCAGAGCCGUUAAGCCUUGACGAGUAGGAGGGUCGCGGCGGUGUGCGCAGAAGGGUCAGGGCGUGAGCCCGCCUGGAGCCGCCGUCGGCGCAGAUCUUGGUGGUAGUAGCAAAUACUCUAGCGAGGGCCUGGAGGACUGACGUGGAGAAGGGUUUCUUGUGAACAGCCGUUGCACAAGAGUCAGUCGACCCUAAGCCCUAGGAGAAAUCCGAUGGCGAUGGGUGGCUAAACAACGUACCUAACCACGUUGUGUGUUCUUUCUGAUGCCCCUGUUGGGCAAAAGGGAGUCCGGUUCCUAUUCCGGAACCCGGCUGCGGAACCGUCACUCUGCGGGCACUCGCCUGCGAGCGCUCGUCGGGGUAACCCAAACUGGCCCGGAGACGCCGGCGGGGGGUCUGGAAAGAGUUUUCUUUUCUUUAUAAGCGUUCGAGUACCCUGGAAUCCUAUAGCAGGGAGAUAGGGUUUGGAACGCGAAGAGCACCGCAGUUGCGGCGGUGUCCGGACCUUCCCCCCGGACCUUGAAAAUCCGGGUGAGGGCUACGCGGAAGUCGCGCCGGAUCGUACCCAUAUCCGCAGCAGGUCUCCAAGGUUAAGAGCCUCUAGUCGAUAGAAUAAUGUAGGUAAGGGAAGUCGGCAAA
rnacentral:rRNA from 1 species